AGCAGAGUCGAGUAGUGGUUUGCUCAUUGGUCUCAUAAUCCAAGUACGGUUGUUCGAUUCAACCCUCUGCUA
rnacentral:tRNA from 1 species